rnacentral:rRNA from 1 species
CCUACGGGAGGCAGCAGUGGGGAAUUUUGGACAAUGGGCGCAAGCCUGAUCCAGCCAUGCCGCGUGUGGGAAGAAGGCCUUCGGGUUGUAAACCACUUUUGUCAGGGAAGAAACGGCUUUUUCUAAUACAGAGAGCUAAUGACGGUACCUGAAGAAUAAGCACCGGCUAACUACGUGCCAGCAGCCGCGGUAAUACGUAGGGUGCAAGCGUUAAUCGGAAUUACUGGGCGUAAAGCGUGCGCAGGCGGCUUUGCAAGACAGAUGUGAAAUCCCCGGGCUCAACCUGGGAACUGCAUUUGUGACUGCAUGGCUAGAGUACGGUAGAGGGGGAUGGAAUUCCGCGUGUAGCAGUGAAAUGCGUAGAUAUGCGGAGGAACACCGAUGGCGAAGGCAAUCCCCUGGACCUGUACUGACGCUCAUGCACGAAAGCGUGGGGAGCAAACAGGAUUAGAUACCCUGGUAGUCCACGCCCUAAACGAUGUCAACUGGUUGUUGGACGGCUUGCUGUUCAGUAACGAAGCUAACGCGUGAAGUUGACCGCCUGGGGAGUACGGCCGCAAGGUUGAAACUUAAAUUGAAUUGACGG